AACGAACGCUGGCGGCAUGCCUAACACAUGCAAGUCGAACGAGACCUUCGGGUCUAGUGGCGCACGGGUGCGUACGCGUGGGAACCUGCCCUUAGGUUCGGAAUAACUCCCCGAAAGGGGUGCUAAUACCGGAUAAUGUCUUCGGACCAAAGAUUUAUCGCCUUUGGAUGGGCCCGCGUUGGAUUAGCUAGUUGGUAGGGUAAAAGCCUACCAAGGCGACGAUCCAUAGCUGGUCUGAGAGGAUGAUCAGCCACACUGGGACUGAGACACGGCCCAGACUCCUACGGGAGGCAGCAGUGGGGAAUAUUGGACAAUGGGCGAAAGCCUGAUCCAGCAAUGCCGCGUGAGUGAUGAAGGCCUUAGGGUUGUAAAGCUCUUUUACCCGGGAUGAUAAUGACAGUACCGGGAGAAUAAGCGCCGGCUAACUCCGUG
rnacentral:rRNA from 1 species